AACGCACAUUGCGCCCUCUGGCAUUCCGGGGGGCAUGCCCGUUCGAGCGUCAUUAAAUCCAAUCAAGCCUGGCUUGGUAUUGGGCCGCGGGGACGUUACCGCGCCUGAAUUUCACCGGCUGGCCGUCGCCCGUCUUAGCGCAGUGACACACUCUCGCUAACGGCGGGCAGAACCACGCCGUCAGAACGCAACGGAUUCCUCGCGGAAUUCGAUUAAGGUUGACCUCGGAUCGGGUAGGAAUACCCGCUGAACUUAA
rnacentral:misc_RNA from 1 species